rnacentral:rRNA from 1 species
GACGAACGCUGGCGGCGUGCUUAACACAUGCAAGUCGAACGAAGAGCGACGGAAGCUUGCUUCUAUCAAUCUUAGUGGCGAACGGGUGAGUAACGCGUAAUCAACCUGCCCUUCAGAGGGGGACAACAGUUGGAAACGACUGCUAAUACCGCAUACGAUCUAACCUCGGCAUCGAGGAUAGAUGAAAGGUGGCCUCUACAUGUAAGCUAUCACUGAAGGAUGGGAUUGCGUCUGAUUAGCUAGUUGGAGGGGUAACGGCCCACCAAGGCGAUGAUCAGUAGCCGGUCUGAGAGGAUGAACAGCCACAUUGGGACUGAGACACGGCACAGACUCCUACGGGAGGCAGCAGUGGGGAAUCUGCCGCAAUGGACGAAAGUCAGACGGAGCAACGCCGAGGGAGUGAUGACGGCCGUCGGGUUGUAAAGCUCUGUUAAUCGGGACGAAAGGCCUUCCUGCGAAUAGUGAGAAGGAUUGACGGUACCGGAAUAGAAAGCCACGGCUAACUACGUG